rnacentral:rRNA from 1 species
UACGAGAGGCCCAAACGUUAUUCGGAAUUACUGGGCUUAAAGAGUUCGUAGGCGGCGCAGAAAGUAGGGUGUGAAAGCCCUCGGCUCAACCGAGGAAUUGCGCUCUAAACUACUGUGCUUGAGGGACCUAGAGGUGAGCGGAACUGAUGGUGGAGCGGUGAAAUGCGUUGAUAUCAUCAGGAACACCGGAGGCGAAGGCGGCUCACUGGGGGUCUUCUGACGCUGAGGAACGAAAGCCAGGGGAGCAAACAGG